AGAGUUUGAUCCUGGCUCAGGAUGAACGCUGGCGGCGUGCCUAACACAUGCAAGUCGAGCGAUUCACUUCGGUGAAGAGCGGCGGACGGGUGAGUAACGCGUGGGUAACCUGCCUCAUACACAUGGAUAACAUACCGAAAGGUAUGCUAAUACAGGAUAAUAUAAGAGAUUCACAUGUAUUUCUUAUCAAAGCUCCGGCGGUAUGAGAUGGACCCGCGUCUGAUUAGUUAGUUGGUAAGGUAACGGCUUACCAAGGCGACGAUCAGUAGCCGACCUGAGAGGGUGAUCGGCCACAUUGGAACUGAGACACGGUCCAAACUCCUACGGGAGGCAGCAGUGGGGAAUAUUGCACAAUGGGCGAAAGCCUGAUGCAGCAACGCCGCGUGAGUGAUGAAGGCCUUCGGGUCGUAAAACUCUGUCCUCAAGGAAGAUAAUGACGGUACUUGAGGAGGAAGCCCCGGCUAACUACGUGCCAGCCGCCGC
rnacentral:rRNA from 1 species